rnacentral:rRNA from 1 species
AUUGAACGCUGGCGGCAUGCCUUACACAUGCAAGUCGAACGGCAGCACGGGGGCAACCCUGGUGGCGAGUGGCGAACGGGUGAGUAAUAUAUCGGAACGUACCCUGGAGUGGGGGAUAACGUAGCGAAAGUUACGCUAAUACCGCAUACGAUCUAAGGAUGAAAGUGGGGGAUCGCAAGACCUCAUGCUCCUGGAGCGGCCGAUAUCUGAUUAGCUAGUUGGUGGGGUAAAGGCCUACCAAGGCAUCGAUCAGUAGCUGGUCUGAGAGGACGACCAGCCACACUGGGACUGAGACACGGCCCAGACUCCUACGGGAGGCAGCAGUGGGGAAUUUUGGACAAUGGGGGGCAACCCUGAUCCAGCAAUGCCGCGUGAGUGAAGAAGGCCUCGGUUGUAAGCUCUUUGUCUAGGGAAGAAACGGUU